rnacentral:tRNA from 1 species
AGGGGUGUCGCCAAGUGGCCCAAGGCACAGGACUUUGACUCCUGCAUACGUUGGUUCAAAUCCAACCACCCCUG